rnacentral:misc_RNA from 1 species
GAAAAAGAACGGAUCGUGAAAUUGCAGCGAAUCAUUCAAGAAACGCGCCAGGAUUUGCAAACGUGAACGUUGAAGAAACGACGAGAGGAAAACCGAUCGUUAGAGCAAACCGAGAAGACUUACUUAACGAUCAUUAUAUUUUCAAACGCUGCUUUCACUUGUCGCCAUUAGGCAUCGAUGAUGUUCCUAACAUUGCCUAACAAACUCGAACGGACCAUAUAUCUCUUCCACGUCGAUCGCUAUACGUUGCGUCUCGUAACCACAAAGCCGCCCUUCCUAAAAUUUUCAAUUUUUAUACAGGUUAGCACGCGUCUCAGCACUCUCUUUGUCUCACCAUCUUCUUUACCACACUACCAACGGAACAGUUGCGUUCUUCUGUCUAACGAGACGCUGUGCACGCACAUACUCUAUACACUCAUACUCAUAUAUGUGUGUCACUACUACGCAGUUAAUCUAGUGUCAAAUUACACAUAUCUCAAUAAUAUAUAUGUAAACUCCCUAGAGUUCAUGUAGGAUAGGGAUUCUUUUUGUUUUACGGGUAGCACGACAGGCUGUGUUUCACGGACAGAGCGAUCUUCUUUUGUUUUAUGGACGACCAUUUUAAGAAGCACGUUUUUCCCGAACGAACGGAUAGAGAGUUACAUUAGAGACAGACAAGGUUACAGAAUAGUUAUUUAAGAUUUUAAAGACUGGAGAAGAAAGAUCGGUAGCUCAGGACGUUGAAAAUCGAUUCUCAAUUUUCAAAUAAACAUUGUACCAAAGACUUGUUAUUUCCCGUUUAUAUAAUUAUUGUUAUUUAUUGUUAUAGACGCAUAUUAAUUGUUGUUUAUUUUUGUAUUUUAUUAAUUACUUCAUAAUAAAAACUCGAUUUUCACACUACAGAAUCGAUCCCUGAAUCUUAUUAUCUAAUCCCUAAUCUAUUACGAUCUUACAUAUAUAUAUAUAUAUAUGUCUUUCGAGAACCAAAUUGAUCAACUCCAUGCUUUAAUGGUUUUUUGUCAUUUCUGUGUCCUUGCAGGUAUGUAUGUUUUUGUUUUCGUUUACCAAUAUAAUCAUAAUAGUCGAGUUUCAUAACAGUGCUACUGAAAUGUUACACAUUACGUACGGGUCACGAGAUAUCUCGUUUUUAGCAAGCCAAACGUUCUGGCCGAGUCACGAGAUAUCUCGUUUUCAUGUUUUUUCGAUCGAAUCGAUGACUUCAGCAGCCGGAGACAAAUGUUUUUGUUAUGUUAUCAGGGUAAUGAAGCCUUGCGCAUUCUUGUGACAAAUGAUUAGCAAAACAACUGAAUGUUGACAUUCU